AGGGAAGCGUCACAUCGAUUUUGUCCACGAAAAACGUCACAUGGAUAUUCUGGAAUCAUCUACAAAGUACACAAACUCCAGUAUUUUCGUAAGUGUAUUUAUAUUUUAAGUCUAUUUGUUAUUGUAUGUCGAUAAUUAGGUCCUGGCCUUGCCGGCAAUUCGAAGAUAAGGGUUCUCAGUUAUGUUGGGGACAGGGCUUGGAUGAAGUACCUAGAUUU